AUGCUAGCCGAGUCAGAGUCCAAGGACGACGUGCCAUGCAGUUGGUCCACUACCAACGACAACGAGGCAGGCCCCUCCCACUUUCCAGGGGUAAUCACCAUGUGCUCAUCGAACCUAGGCUUGGAUGACGACUUCGAAGGUGCAUCAUCAGGUGUUAAUGCAAGUAACACUGGGCAGCAACUGCCUUCCUGCAGAAAAGGCAAGGGUCCCGGGAAACAUGCCAAGUUGAAAGGCAACGACGGGGCUACUGGGUUGGGGAGAGUUCAGACACCAGUUGGCGUAUUUGAAGAUGAAUGUAUUUUCUGCCAUUCAUUCAGAACCAGUGAGCCGUGUCAUGGUCCGAUGGUACUGUAUCACGAUAGAAGGAUUAUGCCCAAUGACAAGGGAAACCCUACCAACGCCGUCUAUGUCCACGAGAAAUGCAUCGUUUGGGCCCCAAGAGUGCAAUCCAGUGGCAGUACUUUUAAGAACGUGGAGAAUGAAAUCAAUCGUGCUUCAAGAUGGGAAUGCAGCAGAUGCAACCUCCGGGGAGCAGCGCUUGGUUGUUAUUACGGCCACUGCCGCAAAACUUAUCAUGUCGCAUGUGCAAUGAUGAUACCAGAAUGCCGCUGGGAUGUUGAGGGUCUCCAUGUUUGGUGCCCCAAUCAUGCACCACAUGAUGAUAUGAGCUCACCAACGAUGGAGAGUGACAUCGUGCUUCAAGUAGAUCAGCUGAACACCUCAAGUUCUUCCUUGUCUCAGGGCCAAUGUUCAGAUAAAGAAAGAAUUUCUUCCAAUUACCGGAGAGAACAAAACCUACAAAAUCAGUCUAGCACCCUGGUGGAUCAAUGGGUUUUGCUUGGUAUAUCUUUAAGUGCAUCAGAAGAGGAUUCCUUGAAGGAAUUUGCGUCCUUGACCAAUUCAACCUUGGUUGAGGAUUGGGACAAAAAUGUGACUCAUGUUAUUGUGGGCAGAAACACAGAUACCGCAUGUGUGAGAUCAUAUGCGGUCCUGAUGGCGAUACUGUAUGGGAAAUGGAUUGUCAGAGCCGGAUGGAUUGUGGAUUUCUUGGUGCAACGAAUUCCACACCCGGAAACUCCUUACGAGAUGACAUUCUAUGGGGGUUUGCACACAUCAAUUUCUGGACCAACGAAAGGAAGAGCUAGAGCUGCUGAAGGGGAUUACAAUCUACUGGCAAGAGAUCCUCGAUACAUGGAGGGCCUCUCUGAAGCACCAAAACUGUUCUCAGGACUGAAUUUCUGCUUCAGCGCCUACCUGCACGUAGAAGACUUAGAGGACUUCCAGAAUCUCAUAGCAGCUGGUGGAGGGCAACCGAUGGAGGGAGUCAGCCCAGACUCGUUACCUGAGAUUAGGAACAGAUUUCCAGGGAAGGUGUACUUCAUCUACCACGGCGGACCUCCAAGGGACUCAACUCGGUAUUUCAAUUGUAUCCUAAAGAAGCAGAUAGAGGAGUGCGUCGAGUAUGGGAAAUCGGGAGCACAGGUGAUCAGCCACCUGAUGCUGUACGAUGCUAUCCUGUCCUAUGACGCGCGGAUCCUGGAACCUGGACGGUCUUUUCACGAAUAUAUGUGA
rnacentral:rRNA from 1 species